AUACGGGGGGGGCAAGCGUUGUCCGGAAUCAUUGGGCGUAAAGGGCGCGUAGGCGGAACAUUAAGUCAGAAGUGAAAACCAUGGGCUUAACUCAUGGCCUGCUUUUGAAACUGCUGUUCUUGAGUGCGGUAGAGGGAAGUGGAAUUCCUGGUGUAGCGGUGAAAUGCGUAGAUAUCAGGAAGAACACCGGUAGCGAAGGCGGCUUCCUGGCCCGCAACUGACGCUGAGGCGCGAAAGCGUGGGGAGCAAACAGGAUUAGAAACCCUAGUAGUCC
rnacentral:rRNA from 1 species